rnacentral:rRNA from 1 species
UGCAUAUCCAAAUAAGCGGAGGAAAAGAAACUAACAAGGAUUCCCCUAGUAACGGCGAGUGAAGCGGGAAGAGCUCAAAUUUGAAAUCUGGUAGCCUUCGGUUGCCCGAGUUGUAAUCUAGAGAAGUGUUUUCCGUGCCGGCCCAUGUACAAGUCCCUUGGAACAGGGCGUCAUAGAGGGUGAGAAUCCCGUCCUUGACAUGGACCCCCGGUGCUUUGUGAUACACUUUCAACGAGUCGAGUUGUUUGGGAAUGCAGCUCAAAAUGGGUGGUGAAUUCCAUCUAAAGCUAAAUAUUGGCGAGAGACCGAUAGCGAACAAGUACCGUGAGGGAAAGAUGAAAAGCACUUUGGAAAGAGAGUUAAACAGUACGUGAAAUUGUUGAAAGGGAAACGAUUGAAGUCAGUCAUGCUCUUGGGACUUACCUCCCUUGAGUGGGGUCAACAUCAGUUUUGAUCGAUGGAUAAAGGCACGGGGAAGGUAGCACUCUCGGGUGAACUUAUAGCCUCGCGUCAUAUACAUUGAUUGGGACUGAGGAACGCAGCAUGCCUUAUGGCCGGGAUUCGUCCACGUACAUGCUUAGGAUGUUGACAUAAUGGCUUUAAACGACCCGUCUUGAACCACGGACCA